rnacentral:rRNA from 1 species
GACGAACGCUGGCGGCGUGCUUAACACAUGCAAGUCGAACGGAAAGGCCCUGCUUGCAGGGUACUCGAGUGGCGAACGGGUGAGUAACACGUGGGUGAUCUGCCCUGCACUUCGGGAUAUGCCUGGGAAACUGGGUCUAAUACCGGAUAGGAGCCAUUUUUAGUGUGAUGGUUGGAAAGUUUUUUCGGUGUAGGAUGAGCUCGCGGCCUAUCAGCUUGUUGGUGGGGUAAUGGCCUACCAAGGCGGCGACGGGUAGCCGGCCUGAGAGGGUGGACGGCCACAUUGGGACUGAGAUACGGCCCAGACUCCUACGGGAGGCAGCAGUGGGGAAUAUUGCACAAUGGGCGCAAGCCUGAUGCAGCGACGCCGCGUGGGGGAUGACGGCCUUCGGGUUGUAAACUCCUUUCGCUAGGGACGAAGCUUUUGUGACGGUACCUAGAUAAGAAGCACCGGCUAACUACGUGCCAGCCGCCGCGGUAA